rnacentral:lncRNA from 1 species
GUAAUUAAAAAUAUUUGCAAUUAGAAAUGCAACAAUUAUAACUAGAUAUGCUUAUUUGGUUGGACGCAGUAUAUAAUUUAUUUAGUAGACGGUAGUUGAUAUAUAUAUAUUUAUAAAAUUUUAUUAUUUUAUAUAUUAGAUGGUGAUACUACCUGCAAUAUUAAAAAAAUAAAUUUUCAUAAAAACAUCAAAUCAAAUAUUGAAUUUGGAUCUGCAUAUACUUAUAUUUACAGUGUAGUUACAACUAUACGCAACU